rnacentral:rRNA from 1 species
UACGAAGGGGGCUAGCGUUGCUCGGAAUCACUGGGCGUAAAGCGCACGUAGGCGGAUUGCUAAGUCAGGGGUGAAAUCCUGGAGCUCAACUCCAGAACUGCCCUUGAUACUGGCGAUCUCGAGUUCGGGAGAGGUGAGUGGAACUGCGAGUGUAGAGGUGAAAUUCGUAGAUAUUCGCAAGAACACCAGUGGCGAAGGCGGCUCACUGGCCCGAUACUGACGCUGAGGUGCGAAAGCGUGGGGAGCAAACAGG